rnacentral:tRNA from 1 species
GGGGUUAUAGCUCAGUGGUAGAGUGGUUGCCUAGCAUGCAUGAGGCACUGGGUUCGAUCCCCAGCACCA